UUUAAGACAUAAUAAGAGUUGGUCUGCUUUAUAAAAUCAAUUAAAAUUUUAACAAUCCGUGAUCAUAAUUAAGUGCGUGAUACGCCAAAAUUCUACGAAGGUGUGGUUUUAUUGAAAAUGAAAGACAACUCGUACAUCGUGAUCUAUCACAUACUACCACAAACUUCUUUAUCACCCAAUUUUUAAAAUUCCAAAACUGAGAUCGAUUUUACAUUCCUCGUUUGCGGCGGAAAUAUCAUAAGCCGUGAAUGAGGAUUUCCGUUUUUGUUGCUGGACAAAUCAUAUUUUAUUUUAAAGCCAUACAAAAAUUCUCUUCCUUUGGCUAAAAAUACUUUUGAAGAAAAUUCCAUCCCAGGGUUUAUGUUGGUUUACUACCUACAUUGCGGAUUGUAAGAAACCAACUAUACAUAAUUUUGCCUUCACAUAUUUUCUACAAAUUGGCAAUAUAAUUAAAUUUAUCAGUAUCCACACAAGUAGAUAAUACGAGUGUACCUAAUCAAAUCCACUACGGUGUAACAUAAACACGUGUUGAAAUCCAGAAAUUGUGGCAUUUCUACAACAAAGCCCAUCACCAAUACUUGCACGUGCUAACUAAUAACCAAUCAGUGGACAGCAGGAAAGCUUAUGGGUAACAUCCACUAGUAAAACCUGCGCUGAAGCCAUCCUUGCCAACACAGCUCAGUAGCCCAGUCGGCUAAGGGGCACAACUAGUGAGCAGCAAUCAUAGCAACGUGGGUUCAAAUCCCGCCACCGACACAAAAUACUUUAUUUCUAAAAAUUUAAAUUACAACGAGUUUCAUAAGUAUCAAAUACAGAAAAAUUGAGUUCCUUCAAAUAUGCAAACAUUUUAACACCUAAAAUUCUUUAAACCCUACAGCGAACCGCACCAAUACACCUAUAUUCUUCAAAAACACGCAAUACAAGCAUUCAUCGAGGCCUCGAGGAUCAAAGUACAGCGAAGAAACAAUGUGUUGAGAUAAGCAAAAAGGAUCAACAUAAAAUUCUUAAAAAAAUAUAAAAAAAACAAAAGUGAGUAAAAACCAAAAACAAAUGAAUUUAACAAAAACUUAAAAUAUUUGCAUAUCAAAAAAAAAAACAGAAUUAAGAAUAAGGAUAAAACGAAAGGAUCAAGGAUCUGUUGUCAGUACAUCAAAAAUCAAUCCUUUAGUAGUUUCUAUAAAUUAAUUUUUCUAUUGACACUUAUUCAUAUGGUAAAAAAAAUUUUGAUCCUUUUGUUUAUCCUUUUUGCA